GUGCCAGCAGCCGCGGUAAUACGUGAGGGGCAAACGUUGUUCGGUGUCACUGGGCUUAAAGGGUGCGUAGGUGGUUACGUAAGUAACGUGUGAAAUCCCCCGGCUUACCCGGGGAAUUGCGCGUUAUACUGCGUGACUUGAGGACUGUAGGGGAAUGGGGAACUCCAGGUGUAGCGGUGAAAUGCGCAGAUAUCUGGGGGAAGGCCGGCGGCGAAGGCGCCAUUCUGGGCAGUUCCUGACACUGAGGCACGAAAGCGUGGGGAGCAAACAGGAUUAGAUACCCUGGUAGUCC
rnacentral:rRNA from 1 species